UACGUAGGGUGCAAGCGUUGUCCGGAAUUAUUGGGCGUAAAGAGCUUGUAGGCGGUUUGUCGCGUCUGCCGUGAAAUUUCGAGGCUCAACCUCGAACUUGCGGUGGGUACGGGCAGACUAGAGUGUGGUAGGGGAGACUGGAAUUCCUGGUGUAGCGGUGAAAUGCGCAGAUAUCAGGAGGAACACCGAUGGCGAAGGCAGGUCUCUGGGCCACUACUGACGCUGAGAAGCGAAAGCAUGGGGAGCGAACAGG
rnacentral:rRNA from 1 species